CACGUAGGCGGCUUGGUAUGUCGGGUGUGAAAUCCCCGGGCUCAACCUGGGAACUGCAUCCGAAACUGCCUUGCUCGAGUAUGGGAGAGGGAAGUGGAAUUUCCGGUGUAGCGGUGAAAUGCGUAGAUAUCGGGAGGAACACCUGAGGCGAAGGCGGGCUACUGGGCCGAUACUGACGCUGAUGCGCGAAAGCCAGGGGAGCGAACG
rnacentral:rRNA from 1 species